rnacentral:rRNA from 1 species
AUUGAACGCUGGCGGCAUGCUUUACACAUGCAAGUCGAACGGUAACAGGCCGCAAGGUGCUGACGAGUGGCGAACGGGUGAGUAAUGCAUCGGAACGUGCCCAGUCGUGGGGGAUAACGCAGCGAAAGCUGCGCUAAUACCGCAUACGAUCUAUGGAUGAAAGCGGGGGACCGUAAGGCCUCGCGCGAUUGGAGCGGCCGAUGUCAGAUUAGGUAGUUGGUGGGGUAAAGGCUCACCAAGCCAACGAUCUGUAGCUGGUCUGAGAGGCCGACCAGCCACACUGGGACUGAGACACGGCCCAGACUCCUACUGGAGGGAGCAGUUGGGAAUUUUGGACAAUGGGCGCAAGCCUGAUCCAGCAAUGCCGCGUGCAGGAAGAAGGCCUUCGGGUUGUAAACUGCUUUUGUACGGAACGAAACGGUCCUGGUUAAUACCUGGGGCUAAUGACGGUACCGUAAGAAUAAGCACCGGCUAACUACGUGCCAGCCGCCGCAGUAAUAC